rnacentral:tRNA from 1 species
AGAAACUUAGGUUACACACAAACCAAGAGCCUUCAAAGCUCAAAACAGAGAAUAUACCUCUAGCUUCUG